UACGUAGGGUCCGAGCGUUGUCCGGAAUUACUGGGCGUAAAGAGCUCGUAGGUGGUUUGUCGCGUUGUUCGUGAAAACUCACAGCUCAACUGUGGGCGUGCGGGCGAUACGGGCAGACUAGAGUACUGCAGGGGAGACUGGAAUUCCUGGUGUAGCGGUGGAAUGCGCAGAUAUCAGGAGGAACACCGGUGGCGAAGGCGGGUCUCUGGGCAGUAACUGACGCUGAGGAGCGAAAGCCAGGGGAGCAAACGGG
rnacentral:rRNA from 1 species